rnacentral:rRNA from 1 species
UGGGGAAUAUUGCACAAUUGGCGCAAGCCUGAUGCAGCCAUGCCGCGUGUGUGAAGAAGGCCUUCGGGUUGUAAAGCACUUUCAGCGGGGAGGAAGGCGAUAAGGUUAAUAACCUUGUCGAUUGACGUUACCCGCAGAAGAAGCACCGGCUAACUCCGUGCCAGCAGCCGCGGUAAUACGGAGGGUGCAAGCGUUAAUCGGAAUUACUGGGCGUAAAGCGCACGCAGGCGGUCUGUCAAGUCGGAUGUGAAAUCCCCGGGCUCAACCUGGGAACUGCAUUCGAAACUGGCAGGCUAGAGUCUUGUAGAGGGGGGUAGAAUUCCAGGUGUAGCGGUGAAAUGCGUAGAGAUCUGGAGGAAUACCGGUGGCGAAGGCGGCCCCCUGGACAAAGACUGACGCUCAGGUGCGAAAGCGUGGGGAGCAAACAGG